rnacentral:rRNA from 1 species
AUUGAACGCUGGCGGCAGGCCUAACACAUGCAAGUCGAGCGGAUGAAGGGAGCUUGCUCCUGGAUUCAGCGGCGGACGGGUGAGUAAUGCCUAGGAAUCUGCCUGGUAGUGGGGGAUAACGUCCGGAAACGGGCGCUAAUACCGCAUACGUCCUGAGGGAGAAAGUGGGGGAUCUUCGGACCUCACGCUGUCAGAUGAGCCUAGGUCGGAUUAGCUAGUUGGUGGGGUAAAGGCCUACCAAGGCGACGAUCCGUAACUGGUCUGAGAGGAUGAUCAGUCACACUGGAACUGAGACACGGUCCAGACUCCUACGGGAGGCAGCAGUGGGGAAUAUUGGGCAAUGGGCGAAAGCCUGAUCCAGCCAUGCCGCGUGUGUGAAGAAGGUCUUCGGAUUGUAAAGCACUUUAAGUUGGGAGGAAGGGCAGUAAGUUAAUACCUUGCUGUUUUGACGUUACCAACAGAAUAAGCACCGGCUAACUUCGCG